rnacentral:rRNA from 1 species
UACGAAGGGGGCUAGCGUUGUUCGGAAUUACCGGGCGCAAAGCGCACGUAGGCGGAUAUGUAAGUCAGGGGUGAAAUCCCGCAGCUCAACUGCGGAACUGCCUUUGAUACUGGGUAUCUUGAGUAUGGAAGAGGUAAGUGGAAUUCCGAGUGUAGAGGUGAAAUUCGUAGAUAUUCGGAGGCACACCAGUGGCGAAGGCGGCUUACUGGUCCAUUACUGACGCUGAGGUGCGAAAGCGUGGGGAGCAAACAGG